CCUUCUUGCAUCUAUGCAGUGGAUAGAAAAAUGACGCAUGAAAACAUAUGUAAAACCUACACAUUGAGCAAGAAAAUGUUAAACUAGAUAAUCAUGGUAGAUCCUCUAGUCCAUUCUUGAAGAAAAAGGUGAAAAUAUCCAUUUUACUCUUAGGCAAAGCUAACCCUAUCUCAAUUCCACCCUCAAAAUCUCUACUCUCAACAAAAGAAACACCUCUUGUAAAAUCAAUUGAAACCUCCUCUAUUUUCUUAGGCCUCCCCCACCCAAAAUUCAAUUCAUAAAGUUUCAAUUUUGGAGACCAUGUAACAUGAACAUGUUCCUCUGACCCAUGUAACAUUUCCCAAUCCAAAAUCCAUUUCUUACCCUCUCCAAAAAUUGAUGCAUCAAGUUUCUUAAUUGUGCUUCCAAUUUCUUUAGCUGCAACAACAAUACCAUCUUCUCCUAGUAAGUCCUUUUUUGUCAAUGAUACCCUUCCAAAUCCAACACAAUUACCAAAAUAAUUCUUUGGUACUUGAUACUCCAAUCUUGUUAUACCACCAGCAAUGAAUCCAAAGUGUGUAACAUCUUCACAAACCACUUUUUCAUUAAUAAACUCUUGUUGAGUUUUAAGCAAACAAAUCCAUAAAAAAGCACUAGUUAACACAUACGAAGAUAAAUGCAAAGGUUGAGAUGUUUUCUUUUCUUUGCAUGAUUCAACAAUAAUUUUUUUGAUUUUCUCCAUUUGAGUUAAACUCAUUAAGAAUGUAGCUCUAGUCAUGUUUGAGGAAUCAACUUUGGAUUCUCUACUAUCUUUUGCAUUGAGUACUAGUCUUCUUUUUCUCCAAUCUUUCAAGAAAACUUCGUGAAGGUCAUUUGUGUCGAUAAUCACACUUCGAUCAUACAAGGGAAGGGAUUUUAUAAGCGAUGAUGAGUCUUCAAAGGUAGAAGAAGAACAAUAUGAAGACCAUGUUUUGAUGAAAUUGUGGAAGGUUCUUCCAUCAGCAACAACAUGAUGAAAAGCUAGGCCAAUGGAAAAGCCAUAAUUUGGGAAUGAUGUUAUUUGAAUAGCUAACAAAGGGAACUCUUUUACUUCAAAUGAAAAGAUUUGUUGCAACUUUGGUACCAAAGGGUGGAAUUCAUUAACAUCUCUUGAGUAAUCGGAGCACAAGUGUUCAAAGUCGCUAUUUGACUCUGCGACCGUGAAUGAAACCGAGUUGUUAAGAGUAAAUUCGAGUUGAGGUUCGGUUAGAUCAAGCGAGGGAACGAAUGUACCGGAAAAUGGGAAGUAAUGUUGAAGUGUGAGAGAAAGAGAUUGUUUAAGUUUUGGGACAAUGGUGGUUGUGAAAUGGGAAAUUGAAUGAGGAAAUUCAUAGAAAAAUAGUGGUUGGCUUGGAGAGAAAAGAAGCCAAGGAAUGUCAAAGAAUGUUAGGGGGAGGGAAGAGACUGUUUGAGUUGUAUUGAUUGGGGGAGUGAUUUUGCAAUGCUCAAUGACCUUCAAAAUGAAAGGAAUGGUGGACAUGUUUUGUAAGAGGAAUUAAGAAAGUGAUGAUAAUUGUAUAAUGUGCUAUAGUUUUAUAGAUGUUGAAGAUAUAUUGUGAGGAUGUUGAAGGGAGCAAAUGACUGGACUCUAUCAUCACAUUGUGUCAAAGUUUUACAGAAAUUGUCAGAAAAUGGUUAUUUAAAUAUCAUUUAAUAAUUGCUUUAUCAUCACAUGUGUUAAACC
rnacentral:lncRNA from 1 species